rnacentral:tRNA from 1 species
GGAGAGAUGGCCGAGCUGGCUGAAGGUGCACGACUGGAAAUCGUGUGUUCCGCUACAACGGAACCGAGGGUUCGAAUCCCUCUCUCUCCGCCA